rnacentral:rRNA from 1 species
UACGGAGGGGAGCAAGCGUUACUCGGAAUUACUGGGCGUAAAGGGCUCGUAGGCGGUCCGUCACGUCGGGGAGUGAAAACUCAGGGCUCAACCCUGAGCGUGCUUCCGAUACGGGGCGGACUAGAGGUAUGCAGGGGAGAACGGAAUUCCUGGUGUAGCGGUGAAAUGCGUAGAGAUCGGUAGGAACACCAGUGGCGAAGGCGGUCUCCUGGGGCAUUCUUGACGCUGAGACGGCGAAAAGCUGGGGGGAGCGAACGGG